rnacentral:rRNA from 1 species
UACGUAGGGGGUAAGCGUUGUCCGGAUUUAUUGGGCGUAAAGAGCGUGUAGGCGGCCUGAAAGGUCAGCUGUGAAAACUCGAGGCUCAACCUCGAGACGUCGGUUGAAACCAUCUGGCUAGAGUCCGGAAGAGGAGUGUGGAAUUCCCGGUGUAGCGGUGAAAUGCGCAGAUAUCGGGAAGAACACCCGUGGCGAAGGCGGCACUCUGGGACGGUACUGACACUGAGACGCGAAAGCGUGGGGAGCGAACAGG